GGGGAGCGAACAGGAUUAGAUACCCUGGUAGUCCACGCCGUAAACGAUGAGUGCUAAGUGUUAGAGGGUUUCCGCCCUUUAGUGCUGCAGCAAACGCAUUAAGCACUCCGCCUGGGGAGUACGGUCUCAAGACUGAAACUCAAAGGAAUUGACGGGGGCCCGCACAAGCGGUGGCGCAUGUGGUUUAAUUCGAAGCAACGCGAAUAACCUUACCAGGUCUUGACAUCCUCUGACAACCCUAGAGAUAGGGCUUCCCUUCGGGGCAGAGUGACAGGUGGUUGCAUGGUUGUCGUCAGCUCGUGUCGUGAGAUUUGGCUUAAGUCCCGCCAACGAGCGUCAACCCUUGAUCUUAGUUGGCAGCAUUCAGUUGGGCACUCUAAGGUGACUGCCGGUGACAAACCGGAGGAAGGUGGGGAUGACGUCAAAUCAUCAUGGCCUUAUGACCUGGGCUCACACGUGCUACAAUGGGCAGAACAAAGGGCAGCGAAGCCGCCGGCUAAGCCAAUCCCACAAAUCUGUUCUCAGUUCGGAUCGCAGUCUGCAACUCGACUGCGUGAAGCUGGAAUCGCUAGUAAUCGCGGAUCAGCAUGCCGCGGUGAAUACGUUCCCGGGCCUUGUACACACCGCCCGUCACACCACGAGAGUUUGUAACACCCGAAGUCGGUGAGGUAACCUU
rnacentral:rRNA from 1 species